rnacentral:rRNA from 1 species
UACGUAGGGACCAAGCGUUGUUCGGAUUUACUGGGCGUAAAGGGCGCGUAGGCGGCAAUUCAAGUCAGUUGUGAAAUCCCCGAGCUUAACUCGGAACGGUCAACUGAUACUGUUUUGCUAGAGUGCAGAAAGGGCAACCGGAAUUCUUGGUGUAGCGGUGAAAUGCGUAGAUAUCAAGAGGAACACCUGAGGCGAAGGCGGGUUGCUAGGCUGACACUGACGCUGAGGCGCGAAAGCUAGGGUAGCAAACGGG